CUUUGGAGACUUUCUCGGACCGUCCGAGGAAGGAUUCCGGACCGUCCGUAGGAUCCUCACCAUGACUGGACGGUAUUCCUUUGACUCUUUUGGUUUUCUUGGUUGUUCAAUGACGGUUAGGGUUUCAUGUGGAUUUGUUGAUUUGUCCAUGGAUAAGGGUUUGCAUGUUGGAGAUCCACCUCUAUCUUCUUCUGUGAACUCUCUCAAUCAUCAGUACCAUUGGAAAUCAAGAGAUUUGGGGGAAGGAUUUUCAUGUUGUUCUAGAUCUCGGGGUCAGCCCGAUGAGCGGCGGACCGUCCGCUGUUACCCGGCGGACCGUCCGCGGUUCCUCGACGGCUGCCUGAGAGCCCUAGAAUCAUAUAGAUAAUAGCAAGUGUCAUUCUUUUUGUAUCAUUGCAUAAACUAAUAACAAUUCUCUAUAUCAUUGACAGUGGCCGUGUUGGUCGUAUCACAAAGGCCUUGACUCGGAAGCUGAGAAAGGGAAGUUCAUCUAAGCGGCCUCAGUUUGAGGAUGAUGGGGAUUCAGGAGAAGAGGAUUCUAGAGAUGUUGAUUAUGCUCCCAGUGAUGCUGAAGUGGAAUCCUCAGCGGUGUUCUCAAUGCAUGUUGAUGAAGACGUUGAUGAAGAUGAAGAUAUCGAUGAAGUGAUUGAUGUGACCCUACACACAACACCCAAGCGAAAAUGGAACAUGGAGACCUACUCCAGAGAGAGGACACCUUAUCAAUUCAGUCUUCCCCGUACGACAUCCAACCUGUUCUUUCACACUCAAGUACAAGAAGAUGCCUUCUUUGGUCACCUGGUCAAUAAAACAG
rnacentral:lncRNA from 1 species